rnacentral:rRNA from 1 species
UACGGGGGGGGCAAGCGUUGUUCGGAAUUACUGGGCGUAAAGGGCUCGUAGGCGGCCAACUAAGUCAGACGUGAAAUCCCUCGGCUUAACCGGGGAACUGCGUCUGAUACUGGAUGGCUUGAAUCCGGGAGAGGGAUGCGGAAUUCCAGGUGUAGCGGUGAAAUGCGUAGAUAUCUGGAGGAACACCGGCGGCGAAGGCGGCUGCCUGGACCAGUCCUGACGCUGAGGCGCGAAAGCUAGGGGAGCAAACAGGG